UACGGAGGGGGGCUAGCGUUGUUCGGAAUUACUGGGCGUAAAGCGUGCGCAGGCGGUUUUUGUAAGCCAGAUGUGAAAGCCCCGGGCUCAACCUGGGAACUGCAUUUGGGACUGCAAGGCUGGAGUACGGCAGAGGGAGGUGGAAUUCCACGUGUAGCAGUGAAAUGCGUAGAGAUGUGGAGGAACACCGAUGGCGAAGGCAGCCUCCUGGGCUAGUACUGACGCUCAUGCACGAAAGCGUGGGGAGCAAACAGG
rnacentral:rRNA from 1 species